AAACGGGGGUAGCCUAAUAUAAGUCAGGACAGGAGGCGGUCCGAGGUGCUGGACGAGCGGCGGUGACCGCAUGGAUCGUAUUCACGAGGCUAGCCGUGUAACGCUGUCCUCGGUGGGUUCGCCCACCGAUUGGACAAAUUUAAACCCUUUGCAGUUGAAAUCAGCGUCUGAAAAAACUUAAUAGUUACAACUUUCAACAACGGAUCUCUUGGUUCUGGCAUCGAUGAAGAACGCAGCGAAAUGCGAUAAGUAGUGUGAAUUGCAGAAUUCAGUGAAUCAUCGAAUCUUUGAACGCACAUUGCGCCCCUUGGUAUUCCAUGGGGCAUGCCUGUUCGAGCGUCAUUUGUACCUUCAAGCUCUGCUUGGUGUUGGGUGUUUGUCUCCUGUAGACUCGCCUUAAAACAAUUGGCAGCCGGCGUAUUGAUUUCGGAGCGCAGUACAUCUCGCGCUUUGCACUCAUAACGACGACAUCCAAAAGUACAUUUUUACACUCUUGACCUCGGAUCAGGUAGGGAUACCCGCUGAACUUA
rnacentral:rRNA from 1 species